rnacentral:rRNA from 1 species
GAUGAACGCUGGCGGCGUGCCUAAUACAUGCAAGUCGAGCGAACGGACGAGAAGCUUGCUUUUCUGAUGUUAGCGGCGGACGGGUGAGUAACACGUGGAUAACCUACCUAUAAGACUGGGAUAACUUCGGGAAACCGGAGCUAAUACCGGAUAAUAUUUUGAACCGCAUGGUUCAAAAGUGAAAGACGGUCUUGCUGUCACUUAUAGAUGGAUCCGCGCUGCAUUAGCUAGUUGGUAAGGUAACGGCUUACCAAGGCAACGAUGCAUAGCCGACCUGAGAGGGUGAUCGGCCACACUGGUACUGAGACACGGUCCAGACUCCUACGGGAGGCAGCAGUAGGGAAUCUUCCGCAAUGGGCGAAAGCCUGACGGAGCAACGCCGCGUGAGUGAUGAAGGUCUUCGGAUCGUAAAACUCUGUUAUUAGGGAAGAACAUAUGUGUAAGUAACUGUGCACAUCUUGACGGUACCUAAUCAGAAAGCCACGGCUAACUACGUG